ACUCAAAGGAAUUGACGGGGGCCCGCACAAGCAGCGGAGCGUGUGGUUUAAUUCGAGGCUACACGAAGAACCUUACCUGGGUUUGACAUGCAGCUGGUAAGACCGUGAAAGCGGGAUGACCCUUCGGGGAGGCUGCACAGGUGCUGCAUGGUUGUCGUCAGCUCGUGCCGUGAGGUGUUCGGUUAAGUCCGAAAACGAGCGCAACCCUCGGGGCUAGUUACAAGUGUCUAGCGCGACUGCCCGUGAGAAACGGGAGGAAGGUGGGGAUGACGUCAAAUCAGCAUGGCCUUGAUGUCCAGGGCUACACACACGCUACAAUGGACGGUACAGUGGGGAGCGAAGGGGCGACCCGGAGCCAAUCCAGAAAGCCGUUCGUAGUUCGGAUUGCAGGCUGCAACUCGCCUGCAUGAAGGUGGAGUUGCUAGUAACCGCGCGUCAGCGAUAGUGCGGUGAAUACGUUCCCGGGCCUUGCACACACCGCCCGU
rnacentral:rRNA from 1 species